rnacentral:tRNA from 1 species
GGACAUGGCUCAGUUGGUAGAGCAUCACCUUGCCAAGGUGAGGGUCGCGGGUUCGAGUCCCGUUGUCCG